rnacentral:lncRNA from 1 species
UUAAUCUAAUAAUUUAUUAGCAAACUUAAUUGCUAAUUAAUUGAUUACUUCUAUUUAUAUAUCCUAACUAUACAAAUAAACUUACUAAAUACUAUUUACUAAUAGGAAUUAUGCUACUAUACUAUCAAUAGUAUCAAGCACUUAGAUCUAUAACGUUUUUGGCGGUAGGAUGAAUGGAUGUAUGGUUAAGAUGAUAGUAGACUCCAAGGGUUGAAUUUGUGGUUAGUUGAAUAAUAUAAUUUAACGGGUGCAAAUGAUCAAAGGGUAGAUCUAACGGCAGAAAAUUUGAUAGUAUCAAAAGCUUGGUACUAUCGAUAGUAUAGUAGCCGGACUCUUACUAAUAGUAUGAUUAUAAUUAAUUGGUGAAGUCCCUAUAUUUUAUAUUAUAAUUCCUCUUUGUUCCAAUUAUUCCAAUUUAAUCAUCCAAACACAAUUUCUUUAUUCUUAGUAAUAACACAAUUCUCACCUAAACACAAAAUUAAUUAUAUAUCCCUACUUAUUCCUAUAGUUAUAUCUAUCCCAAUAAUGAGAAGAUAUGUAGUAUUUCCGAACAAAAAAGGUGUGGCGGACUUAUCUAUACUAUUUAUAAAAGCGUGAGUUUUAAAUUUUUUCAUCUUUUCCAAAAUGCCGAUCCCUAUUAAUAUAAUUCCAAUUACAUACUAAUAAUAUAAUUCAUGCAACUUUAAUAGAAUAAAUCACAGCCGUACAAUUUUUAUUUUAUUUUUAAAUUAUCAUAAAAUAUAUUAAUUCUUAGUCAUUCGAUCUAAUCUAAUGACUGACGAAUUAAGUAUCUGUCACUUUUUUUACCUAAAUUGCCCUUAGAUAGUAUGUAUCAAAUUUCACUUUUUAUAUGUGUGUCAUAUCUCCUAAUAACCGCCACCAACAUAAUAUCAUAUUUUAUCACAAAUAAUAUUCGCAUUUCUUAAAUAUUUUCAUUCUCACAUGUAAUAUCCACCACCUAUAUAAUAUCCAAUCACAUAAUACCUUCCGCAUAUAUAAUAUUUAAUCAUAUUUUUUUAAAAGUGAAUAUAUAAAAAUUAUCUCAAUUUUACCUACUAAUAUUUAAAAUAUGAGAUAUUUUUUCAAUAAAAUAUAACAUAUAAAUUUACAAUUUAAAAUUUUAAAUUUGUAGUAAAUAUGAUUCACAAAUUGAUAUUGAUUUGAGAUAAUUAUUAAAAUAAUUAUUGACACAGACAUACCCUUUUUUAGUCGGAAAAAAUAUUGCAUUCUAUUUGCGAGAAUAGAAAAAAAUUUAUACUUAUCCAAAUUUUUGUCAACCGAAAGAUAUUUGCGCGUCCCAUAAAAUAAUAUUCCAUACUUAUCAAAAAAACGAAAAUCUCUAUGCAACAAACAUUGAAAAUAUUUUGUAUCUACUAUCUCUCAAUUAGCUAACUAAAAAAAAUUAGAUUUGAAAAAAAAAUAAUUUAAAUAAGCUUAUAAAAUCAACUUUAAAUUUUAAAUUU